GACGAACGCUGGCGGCGUGCCUAAUACAUGCAAGUAGAACGCUGAAGGAGGAGCUUGCUUCUCCGGAUGAGUUGCGAACGGGUGAGUAACGCGUAGGUAACCUGCCUGGUAGCGGGGGAUAACUAUUGGAAACGAUAGCUAAUACCGCAUAAGAGUAGAUGUUGCAUGACAUUUGCUUAAAAGGUGCAAUUGCAUCACUACCAGAUGGACCUGCGUUGUAUUAGCUAGUUGGUGGGGUAACGGCUUACCAAGGCGACGAUACAUAGCCGACCUGAGAGGGUGAUCGGCCACACUGGGACUGAGACACGGCCCAGACUCCUACGGGAGGCAGCAGUAGGGAAUCUUCGGCAAUGGACGGAAGUCUGACCGAGCAACGCCGCGUGAGUGAAGAAGGUUUUCGGAUCGUAAAGCUCGGUUGUAAGAGAAGAACGAGUGUGAGAGUGGAAAGUUCACACUGUGACGGUAUCUUACCAGAAAGGGACGGCUAACUACGUG
rnacentral:rRNA from 1 species